rnacentral:rRNA from 1 species
GACGAACGCUGGCGGCGUGCUUAACACAUGCAAGUCGAACGGAAAGGCCUUUUCGGAGGUACUCGAGUGGCGAACGGGUGAGUAACACGUGGGUGAUCUGCCCUGCACUCUGGGAUAAGCCUGGGAAACUGGGUCUAAUACCGGAUAGGACCGCACUUUAGUGUGUGUGGUGGAAAGUUUUUUCGGUGUAGGAUGAGCCCGCGGCCUAUCAGCUUGUUGGUGGGGUAAUGGCCUACCAAGGCGGCGACGGGUAGCCGGAUUGAGAGGUUGGUCGGCCACAUUGGGACUGAGAUACGGCCCAGACUCCUACGGGAGGCAGCAGUGGGGAAUAUUGCACAAUGGGCGCAAGCCUGAUGCAGCGACGCCGCGUGGGGGAUGACGGCCUUCGGGUUGUAAACUCCUUUCGCCAGGGACGAAGCGUUUUGUGACGGUACCUGGAGAAGAAGCACCGGCUAACUACGUG